rnacentral:rRNA from 1 species
AGUGAACGCUGGCGGUAGGCUUAACACAUGCAAGUCGAACGGCAGCACAGUAAGUUCUUGCUCUUCUGGGUGGCGAGUGGCGGACGUGUGAGGAAUACAACGGAAUCUACUCUUUCGUGUGGGAUAACGUAGGGAAACUUACGCUAAUAUCGCAUACGACCUACGGGUGAAAGCAGGGGAUCUUUUGACCUUGCGCUAUUGAAUGAGCCGAUGUGGGUUUGGCUAGUUGGCAGGGUAAAGGCCCACCAAGGCGACGAUCCGUAGCCGGUCUGAUAGAAUGGUCGGCCACACUGGAGCUGGGACACGGUCAAGACUCCUACGGGAGGCAGCAGAGGGGAAUGUUGGACAGUGGGCGCAAACAUGAUCCAGCGGUAGCACGUGGGUGAAGAAGGCCUUGGGGUUGUGAAGACCUUUUGUUGGGAAAGAAAAGCAGCAGGUUAAGACGCAGCUGUUGUGACGGUACCCAGAGAAGAAGCACCGGCUAACUUCGUG